rnacentral:rRNA from 1 species
AGCGAACGCUGGCGGCAGGCUUAACACAUGCAAGUCGAGCGGGCGUAGCAAUACGUCAGCGGCAGACGGGUGAGUAACGCGUGGGAACAUACCUUUUGGUUCGGAACAACACAGGGAAACUUGUGCUAAUACCGGAUAAGCCCUUACGGGGAAAGGAUUUAUCGCCGAAAGAUGCCCGCGUCUGAUUAGCUAGUUGGUGAGGUAACGGCUCACCAAGGCGACGAUCAGUAGCNGGUCUGAGAGGAUGAUCAGCCACAUUGGGACUGAGACACGGCCCAAACUCCUACGGGAGGCAGCAGUGGGGAAUAUUGGACAAUGGGCGCAAGCCUGAUCCAGCCAUGCCGCGUGAGUGAUGAAGGCCCUAGGGUUGUAAAGCUCUUUUGUGCGGGAAGAUAAUGACGGUACCGCAAGAAUAACGCCCCGGCUAACUUCGUGCCAGCCGCCGCGGUAAC